rnacentral:rRNA from 1 species
UGCCAGCCGCCGCGGUAAUACGUAUGUCUCGAGCGUUACCCGGAAUCACUGGGUGUAAAGGGUUCGUAGGCGGUUUAUUAAGUUGGAUAUGAAAGACCGGAGCUCAACUCCGUGUUUGUGUUCAAAACUGGUAGACUAGAAUUAGGGAGAGGUAAGCGGAAUUCUAAGUGUAGGGGUGCAAUCCGUAGAUACUUAGAGGAACACCAAAAGCGAAGGCAGCUUACUGGAACUAUAUUGACGCUGAGGAACGAAAGCGUGGGGAGCGAAAAGGAUUAGAUA